rnacentral:rRNA from 1 species
AGUGAACGCUGGCGGUAUGCCUAACACAUGCAAGUCGAACGGCAGCACAGUAAGAGCUUGCUCUUACGGGUGGCGAGUGGCGGACGGGUGAGGAAGACAUCGGAAUCUACUUUUUCGUGGGGGAUAACGUAGGGAAACUUACGCUAAUACCGCAUACGACCUACGGGUGAAAGCAGGGGAUCUUCGGACCUUGCGCGAUUGAAUGAGCCGAUGUCGGAUUAGCGAGUUGGCGGGGGAAAGGCCCACCAAGGCGACGAUCCGUAGCUGGUCUGAGAGGAUGAUAAGCGAGACUGGAACUGAGAGACGGGCCAGACUCCUACGGGGGGCAGGAGUGGGGAAUAUUGGAAAAUGGGCGCAAGCCUGAUCCAGCCAUACCGCGUGGGUGAAGAAGGCCUUCGGGUGGUAAAGCCCUUUUGUUGGGAAAGAAAAGCAGCAGGUUAAUACCACGCUGUUCUGACGGUACCCAAAGAAUAAGCACCGGCUAACUUCGUG